rnacentral:rRNA from 1 species
GACGAACGCUGGCGGCGUGCUUAACACAUGCAAGUCGAACGGAAAGGCCCUGCUUUUGUGGGGUGCUCGAGUGGCGAACGGGUGAGUAACACGUGAGUAACCUGCCCUCGACUUUGGGAUAACUUCAGGAAACUGGGGCUAAUACCGGAUAGGAGCUCCUGCUGCAUGGUGGGGGUUGGAAAGUUUCGGCGGUUGGGGAUGGACUCGCGGCUUAUCAGCUUGUUGGUGGGGUAGUGGCUUACCAAGGCUUUGACGGGUAGCCAGCCUGAGAGGGUGACCGGCCACAUUGGGACUGAGAUACGGCCCAGACUCCUACGGGAGGCAGCAGUGGGGAAUAUUGCACAAUGGGCGGAAGCCUGAUGCAGCAACGCCGCGUGCGGGAUGACGGCCUUCGGGCUGUAAACCGCUUUCGCCUGUGACGAAGCGUGAGUGACGGUAAUGGGUAAAGAAGCACCGGCUAACUACGUG